ACUGAACGCUGGCGGCAGGCCCAACACAUGCAAGCCGAGCGGAGCGGCGGUCGGGUGAGUAAUGCCUAGGAAUCUGCAUGGCAGUGGGGGAUAAUGUCCGGAAACGGGCGCUCAUACCGCAUACUACCAGAUGAGACUAGGUCGGUUUAGAUAGUUGGUGGGGUAAAGGCAUACCAAGGCGACGAUCCGUAACUGGUCUGAGAGGAUGAUCAGUCACACUGGACCUGAGUCUCUGUCCAGACGUCAGCGGGAGUCAGCCGUGGGGAAUAUUGGACAAUGGGAUCAAGCCUGAUCGAGCUAUGCCGCUUGUGUGAAUAAGGGCUUCGGAUUGUAAAGCACUUAAAGUUGGGAGGCGUUACCAACAGAAUUAGCACCGGUUAACUACGUGCCAGCAGCCGCGGUAAUAC
rnacentral:rRNA from 1 species